UUAAACUAAAACCUAAACAGAUCAUUACUAUUAUGUAUCAGUCCACAGUUCUUUAUACAUGAACCCUGUCAGUCGAACAGCAGGUUUACAACAGGGCUUCCCUGAACAAACCCCCCCUGGUCUAAAAGCAGGUUUACAACAGGGCUUCCCUGAACAAACCCCAACUGGUCUAACAGCAGGUUUACAACAGGGCUUCCCUGAACAAACCCCCCCUGGUCUAACAGCAGGUUUACAACAGGGCUUCCCUGAACAAACCCCCCCUGGUCUAACAGCAGGUUUACAACAGGGCUUCCCUGAACAAACCCCAACUGGUCUAACAGCAGGUUUACAACAGGGCUUCCCUGAACAAACCCCCCCUGGUCUAACAGCAGGUUUACAACAGGGCUUCCCUGAAUAACCCCCCCCUGGUCUAACAGCAGGUUUACAACAGGGCUUCACUGAACAAACCCCCCCCCCACACUCACCUGCAUCCCAAAUGGCUUCCUGUAGUGAACUAGGUUUGACCAGGACCCAUUGUGCUACCCCCCCCUGGUCUAGCAAAGAGCACAGCACAGGGAACAGUGUACCAAUAGGACACGUUAUACAGUCCACGGUUCCUCUGUGUACCAGGCAGUAAACCAGGCAGUAAACCAGGCAGUAAACCAGCCAGUCAGUCAGCUCUGUUCAUAAAUGUCUUUCAACUGUACAUCUUAUUACAAACGAUGGUUACAUACAUGUCAUCAUCAUCAUCCUCAUGGCAUCUGAACAGACACAAACUAAGAGGUCAGCCCACUCCCGAACGGCUCCCUAUUCCCUAUCAUGGCAUCUGAACAGACACAAACUAAGAGGUCAGCCCACUCCCGAACGGCUCCCUAUUCCCUAUCAUGGCAUCUGAACAGACACAAACUAAGAGGUCAGCCCACUCCCGAACGGCUCCCUAUUCCCUAUCAUGGCAUCUGAACAGACACAAACUAAGAGGUCAGCCCACUCCCGAACGGCUCCCUAUUCCCUAUUAUAGUGCACUACUUUAGGUCAGCCCACUCCCGAACGGCUCCCUAUUCCCUAUCAUGGCAUCUGAACAGACACAAACUAAGAGGUCAGCCCACUCCCGAACGGCUCCCUAUUCCCUAUCAUGGCAUCUGAACAGACACAAACUAAGAGGUCAGCCCACUCCCGAACGGCUCCCUAUUCCCUAUCAUGGCAUCUGAACAGACACAAACUAAGAGGUCAGCCCACUCCCGAACGGCUCCCUAUUCCCUAUUAUAGUGCACUACUUUAGGUCAGCCCACUCCCGAACGGCUCCCUAUUCCCUAUCAUGGCAUCUGAACAGACACAAACUAAGAGGUCAGCCCACUCCCGAACGGCUCCCUAUUCCCUAUCAUGGCAUCUGAACAGACACAAACUAAGAGGUCAGCCCACUCCCGAACGGCUCCCUAUUCCCUAUCAUGGCAUCUGAACAGACACAAACUAAGAGGUCAGCCCACUCCCGAACGGCUCCCUAUUCCCUAUCAUGGCAUCUGAACAGACACAAACUAAGAGGUCAGCCCACUCCCGAACGGCUCCCUAUUCCCUAUCAUGGCAUCUGAACAGACACAAACUAAGAGGUCAGCCCACUCCCGAACGGCUCCCUAUUCCCUAUCAUGGCAUCUGAACAGACACAAACUAAGAGGUCAGCCCACUCCCGAACGGCUCCCUAUUCCCUAUCAUGGCAUCUGAACAGACACAAACUAAGAGGUCAGCCCACUCCCGAACGGCUCCCUAUUCCCUAUCAUGGCAUCUGAACAGACACAAACUAAGAGGUCAGCCCACUCCCGAACGGCUCCCUAUUCCCUAUCAUGGCAUCUGAACAGACACAAACUAAGAGGUCAGCCCACUCCCGAACGGCUCCCUAUUCCCUAUUAUAGUGCACUACUUUAGGUCAGCCCACUCCCGAACGGCUCCCUAUUCCCUAUUAUAGUGCACUACUUUAGGUCAGCCCACUCCCGAACGGCUCCCUAUUCCCUAUUAUAGUGCACUACUUUAGGUCAGCCCACUCCCGAACGGCUCCCUAUUCCCUAUUAUGGCAUCUCAACAGACACAAACUAAGAGGUCAGCCCACU